rnacentral:rRNA from 1 species
CCCGCAAGGGGUAGGCCCGGCGCACGACUCUAACCAGCCCGGGCCGCGAUGCAAGUCGGCGCCCUGCCCCCCCGGGGGUGGCGCCGGCGACACUCUCGAACUGACGGGGACACCCUAAAGCCGAUCGCACCAACCCGUGACGGGAAACCGCCCGGGGGCCCGUGGUAACGACACGGGGGAUGGUAACAGACGAUUCGGAUACCGCCCGCGCUUCGGCGCGGCGACCAUGGGCAAUCCGCAGCGAAGCCCCUACGUCCCCCGGUGGGGGAUACGGGGAACGUCCACAGACUAAGUGGAAGUGGGUGGGACGCAGCCGUCCCGCUUAAGAUAUAGUCGGGCCCCCCGGGAGACCAGGGGGGCGAGUACACUGCUCCGCGAAAAACCAACCCGUUCCGUAGGUGAACCUGCGGAAGGAUCAUUACCGAGUGCGGGCCCUCAGGGUCCAACCUCCCACCCGUGUUUAUCGUACCUUGUUGCUUCGGCGGGCCUGCCGUCAGGCUGCCGGGGGGCAUCCGCCCCCGGGCCCGCACCCGCCGAAGACACCCCUGAACGCUGUCUGAAGAUUGCGGUCUGAGCACUUAGCUAAAUCAGUUAAAACUUUCAACAACGGAUCUCUUGGUUCCGGCAUCGAUGAAGAACGCAGCGAAAUGCGAUAAGUAAUGUGAAUUGCAGAAUUCAGUGAAUCAUCGAGUCUUUGAACGCACAUUGCGCCCCCUGGUAUUCCGGGGGGCAUGCCUGUCCGAGCGUCAUUGCUGCCCUCAAGCACGGCUUGUGUGUUGGGCCCCCGCCCCCCGGUCUCGGGGGGCGGGCCCGAAAGGCAGCGGCGGCACCGCGUCCGGUCCUCGAGCGUAUGGGGCUUCGUCACCCGCUCCGUAGGCCCGGCCGGCGCCCGCCGGCGACCCCCAUCAAUCUAUCCAGGUUGACCUCGGAUCAGGUAGGGAUACCCGCUGAACUUAAGCAUAUCAAUAAGCGGAGGAAAAGAAACCAACAGGGAUUGCCUCAGUAACGGCGAGUGAAGCGGCAAGAGCUCAAAUUUGAAAGCUGGCCCCCUCGGGGCCCGCAUUGUAAUUUGCAGAGGAUGCUUCGGGAGCGGCCCCCAUCUAAGUGCCCUGGAACGGGCCGUCAUAGAGGGUGAGAAUCCCGUCUGGGAUGGGGUGCCCGCGCCCGUGUGAAGCUCCUUCGACGAGUCGAGUUGUUUGGGAAUGCAGCUCUAAAUGGGUGGUAAAUUUCAUCUAAAGCUAAAUACUGGCCGGAGACCGAUAGCGCACAAGUAGAGUGAUCGAAAGAUGAAAAGCACUUUGAAAAGAGAGUUAAACAGCACGUGAAAUUGUUGAAAGGGAAGCGCUUGCGACCAGACUCGCCCCCGGGGUUCAGCCGGCAUUCGUGCCGGUGUACUCCCCGCGGGGCGGGCCAGCGUCGGUUUGGGCGGCCGGUCAAAGGCCCUCGGAAUGUACCGCC